GGUGGGUUGGCCGAGAGGCGAGGCAGCGGCCUGCAAAGCCGUAUACACGGGUUCGAAUCCCGUACCCACCUCCG
rnacentral:tRNA from 1 species